GUGCAAAUCCAAUUUUGUUUAAAAAAAUCAUGUAUACACACAUUCAGGAAUUACUGAAAAAUGGUUAUCUCUGGAUAAUGGUGAUGUAAAAUUUUUUUCCUUUUGUUUUUCUGUAUUUUAUAAAUUAAUUGCAAUGAACAAGUUUUACUUUUGCAAUUAAAAGCAUAAUAAACACAUUAGACAAAAUAUAUCUACCUUGAUCUGCAUUUUUGUCAUAGGUGAAAUGACAUUUGAACAUCAGCCAAAGAGAUUUUUCCAAGACACAACCAACAUGCUUUCUUCUGAUACUACCCAGCUAUCUGAUAGGAAUGUAUUAGAGAAGAGCUGGCUUAGUCAGACCUAGAACCUCCCCGUCUGUGUCUGCUCAAGGCAUUACCAACCGAAUAGCUCCAUCUGAAACGUCAGACCUGUAGAUUAAAAUUAAAAAGGGGAAGAUGCAGUCUCUGACAAUUUGUUCCCAAUGAAGAAAUUAAGAUGGAAAAGGAAAAGUUUGUUCCUAAGUCUGUAGUUCUAAUCCUCAAGAGUGAAGGAGUUAUGGUGUGUGGGGUAGGGUUCUCUUAAAAGAAAAAUUGUGUAAAUGAAGUGUUUUGUAGGGCACUUAAAAGAAAUGCAGGAUGGUGCUUGAUGUUUCUUAACUUUUUAUUUUGAAAUAAUUGUAGACUCAUAGGAAGUUCCCCUUCACUCCAUCUCCCCCAGUGAUCACAUUGCACAUAAUUAUAGUACCAUAUAAAGGCCAUGAAGUUGACAUAGGUACAAUGUGUGUGUAUAGUUCUACACCAUUUUAUUACAUGUAUAGAUUUGUGGAACCACCACCGCAAUCAAGACACAAAAGUAUUCUGUCACCACAAAGAUCUCCCUGGUGUGCCCCUUUAUAGUCACACCUACCCCGUCCCCCUCCACCAUCCCUAACCUCUGGUAACCAUUAAUUUGUUCUCCAUCUCUAUAAUUUUGUACUUUAAAAAGUACAGUUUCCGUAAGAAAAUGGGUUGGCACCUCUAGUUUUCACAGAAUUUCAGGCCUGAAGGAGUAACUUCUCCAGCCCAGUCUCCCAUCCCAUGCCCAAAUUCUGCCUACGACAUCUCCUCCAAGUGUCCAGCCAGCCCCUAUGACAUGCAAACCAGAACGUUCUCCAGGAUUUUAGGAGUGUUGAGUUAUUUGAUAUAAAUAUUUAUACCGAGGACAUUGUUUCCUUCCGUAAAUUUAUUCAGUAGUUAGCAAAACUCUUACCUUUAGAUUAAAUAUUACAAAAUGCCCUCUCACCUGCUGAUUUUUCCCAUCACACACUGUCCUG
rnacentral:lncRNA from 1 species